rnacentral:tRNA from 1 species
UGGGGUGUAGCCAAGCGGCAAGGCAGCGGACUUUGGCUCCGCGAUCGCUGGUUCGAUUCCAGCCACCCCAGCCA